AGCAGCCGCGGUAAUUCCAGCUCCAAUAGCGUAUAUUAAAGUUGUUGCAGUUAAAAAGCUCGUAGUUGAAUUUCGGGAUCAAUAUAUCGGUCGUGCCAUUGGUACGUACUGGUAUCAUUGGUUUCUCCUUUCUGACGAACCAUGAUGUCAUUAAUUUGGUGUUAUGGGAAGUUAGGACUGUUACUUUGAAAAAUUAGAGUGUUUAAAGCAGGCUUUAGCUUGAAUACAUUAGCAUGGAAUAAUGAAAUAGGACGUUCGAACCUAUUUUGUUGGUUUCUAGGAUCAACGUAAUGAUUAAUAGGGAUAGUUGGGGGCAUUAGUAUUCAAUUGUCAGAGGUGAAAUUCUUGGAUUUAUUGAAGACUAACUACUGCGAAAGCAUUUGCCAAGGAUGUUUUCAUUAAUCAAGAACGAAAGUUAGGGGAUCGAAGACGAUCAGAUACCGUCGUAGUCUUAACCAUAAACUAUGCCGACUAGGGAUCGAAUGAUGUUAAUUUUUUAAUGUACUUCA
rnacentral:rRNA from 1 species